rnacentral:rRNA from 1 species
AGAAGCAAUACCGCGAGGUGGAGCAAAACUUCAAAAAUGGUCUCAGUUCGGACUGUAGGCUGCAACUCGCCUACACGAAGUUGGAAUUGCUAGUAAUCGUGGAUCAGCAUGCCACGGUGAAUACGUUCCCGGGUCUUGUACACACCGCCCGUCACACCAUGGGAGCUGGUAACACCCGAAGUCAGUAGUCUAACCGCAAGGAGGACGCUGCCGAAGGUGGGAUUAGCGACUGGGGUGAAGUCGUAACAAGGUAGC